AGGUCCAAUGACUUCUAAAUGCCCUGUUAAAGUGAAACAAGCAGCUUUCAUUAUAGAAGGAAGCAACACUGAAUUCUUAGUUGCUGAUUACGGUUCUGAUUGCUUUGUUCAGAUAAGUCAGGUAGGUAAAGUUGGAAAAAUUGUUAAGGCAAUACGGGACAAACCUGAUCAUCUGGACGGCUUCAGCACUUAUACAAUCACCAAUUUGCUAGGAGCAGACGACGAAAAGAUAGACGUUUUAGCUCGACAAAUUGUUGAGGAGUUGAACAGCAAGCCUCCUUACAAGUCACUACUACUUGGCUACUCCUGCAAAAAACUCCCGCCUUUUUCUACUAUUCUGAGUGUUUUAAAAGAGUUGGGUUUGAAAUCAAGUAAUGGCAAUGCAAUUCCUCCACCGAUUGCAAUGUAAUGGACAGUUGAACACCAGGAUCUCCAGACUGUAUUCAAGUACAUGCUCUUUGAACAUGAAGAAAUGUAGAAGGUCCAGCGAUACUUGUAAUAGAUUUGUUUCUUGUCACCACUGCCAAAGGUCUGUCAGAUUUGUUCAGACCUUUGGCAGCGGUGACAAGAAAUUGGGUGGUAUCAGAGGAAAGUUAGCGCACCUACUCACUUCGGAGACUUUUCAAUAUGCCAUUUGGUUUGUUGGCUGUAUGUGUCUAGUAUUUCUUACAGCUGCCAUUUCACAGAAACACAAAUACAAGGACUCCUCUCAUUUUACUGGGCAUGCUUCCUUGAUGGACGUCGAUCAGCUUGAGUCACUGAAAAACACAAAAAAAGGGGGAAAAGAAGACAAAAAGGGUCUUGAUGACAUAAUUGACGAGUUGUAUGACAAGCACAUUGCAAAUAAAGAUUUGAAUGAUUGGGAAAACAUCAGAACACCCCGACCAGAAGAACCGGACACAGUUGAAGCUAACCAGGAUAAAAGAGCGGCAAUGAUCAACAAGAAAACUGAUGAGGAAGCAAAAGAGUUCACAUCAGGUGACUUUGGCAAGAUUGAAGAAACUGAUAUUUCCCUUGAUUUUGAUGAUGAGGAGGUUAUAAGUACUGGAGGACAGUUAAAAUAUUAUGGUAAAGUUGGUGGAGUUAAACUUCCUCAAGCAAAUCAAAGAUACCGGUAAAACGGACGGUUUUGUUUGUACUUUUUUAUUUGUCAAUAAUUUUUGUUGAACAGAAACUCCAAUUUCUCCAGAUUGUGGCCCUAUUUAUAGUCUUUGAUAUUAAUUUGUUAAGAAUACUGUUCAAAA